AAUGAACGCUGGCGGCAGGCCUAACACAUGCAAGUCGAACGGACCCUUCGGGGUUAGUGGCGGACGGGUGAGUAACACGUGGGAACGUGCCUUUAGGUUCGGAAUAGCUCCUGGAAACGGGUGGUAAUGCCGAAUGUGCCCUUCGGGGGAAAGAUUUAUCGCCUUUAGAGCGGCCCGCGUCUGAUUAGCUAGUUGGUGAGGUAAAGGCUCACCAAGGCGACGAUCAGUAGCUGGUCUGAGAGGAUGACCAGCCACAUUGGGACUGAGACACGGCCCAAACUCCUACGGGAGGCAGCAGUGGGGAAUCUUGCGCAAUGGGCGAAAGCCUGAUCCAGCCAUGCCGCGUGAGUGAUGAAGGCCUUAGGGUUGUAAAGCUCUUUCACCGAUGAAGAUAAUGACGGUAGUCGGAGAAGAAGCCCCGGCUAACUUCGUGCCAGCCGCCGCUGUAA
rnacentral:rRNA from 1 species